UGUCAAACCGGAGGAAGUGGGGAUGACGUCAAGUCCUCAUGGCCUUAUGACCAGGGCUACACACGUGCUACAAUGGCCGGUACAAAGAGUUGCGAUACCGCGAGGUGGAGCUAAUCUCAUAAAGCCGGUCUCAGUUCGGAUUGGAGUCUGCAACUCGACUCCAUGAAGUUGGAAUCGCUAGUAAUCGCGGAUCAGCAUGCCGCGGUGAAUACGUUCCCGGGCCUU
rnacentral:rRNA from 1 species